GCGUGGAACGAGCGAGCUAAAUAGAUUAUUUCCAUUUUCCACUGUCUCCAAAGCCUUGCCAAAAACCCCAUAUAUGAAAAACCCUAACCCAUCACAACUCGCUCUCCCCGAGUUCGCUUCACUGUUCCCUCUCUUGCAUUUAAUUUCCAGUUUCAAGCUCCUCAAUAAUGCAUAGGCUAUCUAAACGCUCCGUUUCUGCUAUCCUUCACUCCGGUGGCUCAAAUUACCGGAGAAGCGCAGCUGCGGCCUGGCUCGCCUGUUCUUCUGACUUGGCCGAUUUGGCUGUAGAUGGAGAUAAUAGAGUCAGAUGGUACUCAUUGUUGACCCCCAGGAAUCUGAUACCAAAUCGAGCUGGCGCUUCAACUCAUUUGAACUUGAAACAUGGUUUGUUUUUGGGUCAUCGGUGUGAGUCCACUGCAGCAGAAACUGAUGCAUCAUCUCCCCCACCGCCAGUGGGUGAAAAAUAUGAAUAUCAAUCUGAGGUGGAAAAUUUUGCCCCUGAGAGUGGAAGCAGUGAACCUUUGUGGGACUCAUUGGAGGAUGGUGAUCCCCAUAUUAAUGCAAAAGAUGUAGAUGAGGGAGAGUUUUAUGUGAUAGACACAGAGAAAUUAGAAAAUGUGUUGUCUUUGUUACAGAGCCGCAGUGAUGGUUCCUUAGAGUUGAGCCUUGAUAGUAUGGAUUUGGAUUUACAUGAGGAGUUUAUAGUGAAAGUACUGGAAACUCCUCUUGUUUCGGGCGAUAAUUUGAUUAAGUUUUUCAGGUGGGCAAUUGAGAAGCCAGAAAUUAGUGUGACUAACCGUGUAGUUGAUUUGCUUGUUCAAUCUAUCUGUAGUGACCUUAGGAAGAAAAACGCAUAUGCAUUGUGGGAUUUGGUCCAGGAUGUUGCUCAGAAGGAUGCUGCUGUUCUGAAUACUGUGAUUCUUAAUCAGCUGAUAAUUUUGUUUUCAAAGUUGGGUAAAGGGAAAGCAGCUUAUGAGGUUUUCAACAAGUUUGUGGAUUUUGGGUAUGUCCCGGAUUCAGAUACUUAUUAUUAUACAAUUGAAGCCCUUUGUAGGCGAUCUUUUUUCGACUGGGCUUGGUCAGUUUGUGAGAAGAUGCUUAAUGCUGAAACUUUGCCUGAGAGUGAGAAAGUCGGUAAGGUUAUUUGUUGGUUUUGCAAAGGGAGUAGGGCAAAAGAUGCCCAUAUGGUUUAUAUGUUGGCAAAGGAGAAGAACAAGUAUCCACCUCAGCCUGCAGUCAAUUUUUUGAUUAGUUUGCUCAGUCAGAAAGAUGAAACAGUCAAAUUAGCAUUGGAGACAUUGAAUACCUUACCUAGAGAAACACAGAAGCGUGCGAUCAAGCCCUUUUCAUCUGUUAUUUGCGGUUUGUGCAGGAUCAAAGAUUUGGAAGGGGCAAAAAUUUUACUCUGUAAGAUGAUUGAAGAGGGCCCACCUCCUGGAAAUGCUGUUUUCAAUUACAUUAUCAAUGGCUAUUCCAAGAAUGGAGAUGUGGGAGAAGCAAUAAAGAUAAAAAAAUUGAUGGAAAAGAGGGGGCUGAGGCCGGAUCUUUACACCUAUACAGUUAUUAUGAGUGGUUAUGCAAGUGGGGGUCAGAUGAAGGAGGCUUGUAAAAUGCUGUCAGAAGCGAAAAAGAAGCACUCUAAGCUGAGUCCUGUGACUUACCAUACACUUAUUCGAGGGUAUUGCAAACUUGAACAGUUUGACAAGGCUUUGGAGUUAGUAGCAGAGAUGAAGGCAUUUGGUGUCCAACCUAAUGUAGAUGAGUACAAUAAGUUGAUCCAAUCUCUAUGCUUAAAGGCCUUAGAUUGGGAGAAGGCAGAGAAGCUGAUGGAGAAGAUGAAGGAUGAUGGCUUGCAUUUAAAUGGGAUCACACGAGGCCUUAUAAGAGCAGUCAAGGAGCUUGAAGAAGAAACUGUUUAAGUUGGCCAUGCGGAUGUCUCAAGUUACUGGAGACCCUGGGAAGAUGGCUGCUGUGCUAAGGAACUUAAGCAAGUUCCGAAUCAAAGAACUUACCUGAUCUGGAAGAAAGAUGUCGGCUGUAAUGGAAGUUGGCCAUCAUGGAUCGUUUGGGUUGAGGACGGAUGAUGUUAGGAGUAAUUCUGGGAUUGAUUGUGCUUGCCCUACCCGAUGUCUUGAAAGCAGCACAUUAGAUGCCAGCAUGGGAAUUCACUUGACCAUUCUCUUAAGUUAAGAUGAUCUAUGAUUGCUGCAGAAAUCAACUUGCUGUCGACACUGCUGUUUUGAAGUUAUUUUUAUGCUCUUGGAUCCAGAUGUCUUUAACUUUUACAAAAUAUUCUUCCUCUCUAUUUCACAUGCACGAUCCACAAGGCCCAUAACUCACACUUCUCCCUUCUCUUGUCGCUCCUUGAAUCUUCCUUACUUGCCAAUACCAUCCUCUUUCUAUUUCCUUCGACCCAUCACACCCACAUCCCCGUAUCUAUUUUUAUUAUUUCUCUAUACCAAAAUUAAGAUGGGUUCAAGAGAGCCUCUUCUGUUAUUUCGGAGAUUUCUUUAGAUCUGUUGAGUUUUUCCUAUAAGUAUACUUUUCCUCCAGUAAUUAUGCUUGGGGUGGUUUAAAUAAUCUGAGAUGGGCAAGAUGAUUUGUGAUAUAAUGUUGUUGAUGGAUUUUAUUGUUGAUGAGCUUGUGGGUAUAUUGAUAAGUUGUAUGCAGAGAAUGGUGGUGCAGAAGAUGCAUGUUUUUUGUUUGAUAAGAUGCCUGGUAAAGAUUGUAUUUUAUGAAAUGUGAUGCUCAAUUAUCUUUAAGAUGUGGGGGAUCAUUACAGCUGGAAAAGUUUUUUGAGAAAAUGAGGAAUUACAAAA